UACGUAGGUCGCAAGCGUUGUCCGGAUUUACUGGGCGUAAAGAGCGCGCAGGCGGCUGGUCAAGUCCGAUGUGAAAUCUCCCGGCUCAACUGGGAAACUGCAUCGGAAACUGAUCGGCUUGAAGAUGGGAGAGGGUAGUGGAAUUCCCGGUGUAGUGGUGAAAUGCGUAGAUAUCGGGAGGAACACCAGUGGCGAAGGCGACUACCUGGCCUGUUCUUGACGCUGAGGCGGCGAAAGCUAGGGGAGCAAACGGG
rnacentral:rRNA from 1 species